rnacentral:lncRNA from 1 species
AUGGUGCUCGUCCCCGUGAUCCAUUUAUUCCAGGAGGGUUAUCGUAGGAGUUCGCGACACCGUCAUAUAUGUUUAAAGUCACUUAUAUUCACCAAAUCCCACAUUCCAUUUUGCGUCUGCCUUCUUGAGCUGUUUAUCCUAGGCGUGUGCCUCUGGAAACCUGUUUUGUUUGCUGGCCAUCCUCCUGUCAACGGUGUGCACAUAAACGGUACAACUCUCCUAAAAGCACUAUGAAACUAAAUACGUGCACUGGAAAACAAAUCUAAAUGGAACAAGACAAACCGAAGCCCACUUUGAGCUGACCCUGACCUGGCCCUGGUGUUGUGGAGUGGCCCGGGGGACAGUGGCCACACCAGCCCAUAUGGAGACAGAAAGUGUAACCAUGGUGAUGGAGCUGUGGCAGAUCUUUAUAUUCACAUCAUGUAGCAAAACCCCUUUCAGAUAAUUCACGUAGUACAGCAGGAGACACGGAGAGAGAGGAAGAUGAAGGAAAAGGUUUGCAUGACAAAUUAGUAUCUGUGUGUGACCAUUACAUGAAUCCCUAGUGUGUGUGUGUGUGUGUGUGUGUGUGUGUGUGUGUGUGUGUGUAUGCUC